CAAGGAAUAUUGGGCAAUGGGCGAAAGCCUGACCCAGCGACACCGCGUGAGGGAAGAAGGCCUUCGGGUUGCAAACCUCUUUUAUCAGGGAAGAAUAAUGACGGUACCUGAUGAAUAAGCUUCGGCUAACUACAUGCCAGCAGCCGCGGUAAUACGUAGGAAGCAAGCGUUAUCCGGAUUUACUGGGCGUAAAGCGGGUGUAGGCGGCCUGUCAAGUCUGGUGUGAAAUCUCCCGGUUUAACUGGGAAGGUGCAUUGGAUACUGAUGGGCUGGAGUGCAGCAGAGGAAAGCGGAAUUCCCGGUGUAGUGGUGAAAUGCGUAGAUAUCGGGAAGAACACGAGUGGCGAAGGCGGCUUUCUGGGCUGUAACUGACGCUGAGACCCGAAGGCGUGGGUAGCAAACAG
rnacentral:rRNA from 1 species